rnacentral:lncRNA from 1 species
CACUGCCAACCCAGAAAUACAUCUUCUCAAAACCUCACAAAAGAGAUCAGGCCCCUUCAUCUUAUUUUUUUUUUCUUUGCAGAAGUUUACCCAAACCCUCCACCAUACCCCUAACCUACACUUUCUGCCCUCCUCUCGUGUAACACCGGAGACCCGGGUUUCCGGCCGGUUCCUUUCUUCUCCGAUGAGCACACUCAAAUCCUCCAACUUCUUCUACAUCUAAACCACCACACGACCCUGGAUUCUUGUCUCUCUCUCUCUCUCUCUCUCUCUUAAACAGACUACAACAGCAACCACACCACCACCGCAGCGGUAGUGCUGUGGUGGGUGGUGCCGUGUGACGGUUCGAGCAAGAGCAGGAGGAAGAGAGAGAAAGCUAGGAGAGACAGGGAGGUGGUGGCGGCUGAUCGGAGACAGAGAAGCAGUGCCGCCGCUCACGGUGGCGGCGGUGGAAUCAAAGGGCGUGUGGCGGCGCGUGGCAGUUGAGUCGAACGGCGGCAGACUAGCGACGGAGCUCCGACGGCGGCUGUCGUUGUCGUUUGUGGCCUCUCUCCGUUCCAUCUCAAGUUCAGCAUGAGCGGGGUUAGUUUUGGUUCGAGUUACGGUGUGGGUUUGUUUCGUGUGUUAGUUACAGCUCAGAUGAUUAGUUCGUGGUGCGGGUCAGACUCAGUCUCGGUUCGGGUUCAGUCAAUGUAGGUCAAAGGAAGGCAACUCAGUCGACAGUUCGGUUCGAUCAACUCGGGUCAAACCCGGUUAUCUCAGUUAACUCAGUUAACUCCGUUAACCUGGUUGACUCGGUCAACUCAGCGAGUCGACUCGGUCAAACCUGGUCAACACAGUGAGUUGACUCAGUCAACUCAGCCGGUCAACUCAGUUGACCCGGUUUACUCAGUCAACCUCUUCGGCGUUCGACACUAGAAAUUGGUUGCAUCUCAAAGUUAAGGUACGGUUGGAAUAGGAGAACCAUGUGGAGUCGAGUACUUAGUGGGCGUUCGCAUUCUAAAAGUCUUAGCUUAAUUGCUCCCGCUGUGCAAUGAAGAUUCCAGUCCAGUCACGCCAGCUCUGAUAAUUUCGGGGUGUGACAUACAUACAUGUAAUAAAGUGAAAAUAUUGGUAAUGGUAUUGUAUUAUGGAUGGUAGGAGGUAAUGGUAUUGUAUUAUGGAUGGUAGGAGGUAAUGGUAGUGUAUUAUGGAUGGUAUGAUAGAUGAAAGGGGAAGUGUAUUCAAAGUAGUGUACCAAAACACCUUAUGUUGAUACAUAUAGAUGCACAUGUGCAUUUCUAAUAUUGGUAAUGUAAAAAGUAUUGUAUUACACAUGGUAGUGUAAAUGAAUGUGCAAUUCUCUAAUAGUUGUAAUGAAUUACGGAAUUUGUCACAGAA